AACUUAAAGGAAUUGACGGGGCCCGCACAAGCGUGGAGCAUGUGGUUUAAUUCGAUGAUACGCGAGGAACCUUACCUGGGCUCAAAUGUAUGUUGACGUAUUCUGAAAGGGAUACUUCUUCGGACAAUAUACAAGGUGCUGCAUGGUUGUCGUCAGCUCGUGUCGUGAGAUGUUGGGUUAAGUCCCGCAACGAGCGCAACCCUUGCCUUUAGUUGCCAGCAGUUCGGCUGGGCACUCUAAAGGGACUGCCGGUGUUAAACCGGAGGAAGGUGGGGAUGACGUCAAGUCCUCAUGGCCUUUAUGACCAGGGCUACACACGUACUACAAUGGCCGAUACAAAGGGCAGCGACACUGCGAGGUGAAGCCAAUCCCGUAAAAUCGGUCUCAGUCCGGAUUGGAGUCUGCAACUCGACUCCAUGAAGUUGGAAUCGCUAGUAAUCGUGGAUCAGCAUGCCACGGUGAAUACGUUCCCGGGCCUU
rnacentral:rRNA from 1 species